CGAGUCGGCUGGGCGGUCGCGUCGGCACCCUUCGAGGUGUCGCCGAGGAACGUCCGGACUCCGCAGAGCAGGGUGGUUGCUAACGGCAACCCGGGGUGACCCGCGGGAAAGUGCCACAGAGAACAGACCGCCGGCCUAGUGCCGGUAAGGGUGAAACGGUGGGGUAAGAGCCCACCAGCACCCCGGGUGACCGGGGUGGCUCGGUAAACCCCACCCGGAGCAAGGCCAAGCAAGGCCCGAUGUCGCAGGACGCCGGGCCGGCGCAGGCGUUCGAGGGCUGCUCGCCCGAGCCUGCGGGUAGGCCGCACGAGCCUGCCGGCAACGGCAGGCCGAGAUGGAUGACCGCCCAGCGGCGAGCAAUCGCCGCGGACAAAAUCCGGCGUACAGGCCGACUCGUCCG
rnacentral:RNase_P_RNA from 1 species